rnacentral:sRNA from 1 species
AGGUGUGAUGUCAGCUGCGAAAACUGUAUUAAUGGAACCUGCGCCCAAGAAGAUGGCAAGUGCUUACUAGGCUGUAAAGUGGGAUUUACUGGCUGGGACUGUGAGACACACUGCUCGAACUGUAUUGAAGAAGACCAGUCAUGUGACCAAAAGACCAGGUUUUGUUUAUUUGGAUGUAGACCUGGCUAUUAUGAAGACGACUGCUCCAAUUUUUGUGAAACUUGUGGAGGCACUGGGGAAUGCGGUAGAAAGAGAGGGGAGUGUCUCGACGGAUGCAAGGAAGGAUUCCGUGGACCACUGUGUA